rnacentral:rRNA from 1 species
CACGCCGUAAACGAUGUACGCUAGAUCGGUGCGGUUUUGACGCCGUAUCGGUCGACGUGAAAACGAUAAGCGUACCGCCUGGGGAGUACGGUCGCAAGGCUAAAACUCAAAUGAAUUGACGGGGGCUCACACAAGCGGUGGAGCAUGUUGCUUAAUUCGAGGCAACGCGAAGAACCUUACCUGGGCUUGACAUGGCCGGAUUAAGUCCAUGAAAGUGGAACUAGGCCCGCAAGGGUACAACGGUCACAGGUGC